UACGAAGGGGGCGAGCGUUGUUCGGAAUUACUGGGCGUAAAGGGCGCGCAGGCGGCUCUGAAAGUCCGAUGUGAAAGCCCCGGGCUUAGCCUGGGAAUUGCAUUUGAUACUCUGGAGCUUGAGUACGGGAGAGGAGAGUGGAAUUCCCAGUGUAGAGGUGAAAUUCGUAGAUAUUGGGAAGAACACCGGUGGCGAAGGCGGCUCUCUGGACCGUAACUGACGCUGAGGCGCGAAAGCGUGGGGAGCAAACAGG
rnacentral:rRNA from 1 species